AGUGAACGCUGGCGGUAUGCCUAACACAUGCAAGUCGAACGGCAGCGCAGUAAGAGCUUGCUCUUACGGGUGGCGAGUGGCGGACGGGUGAGGAAUACAUCGGAAUCUACUUUUUCGUGGGGGAUAACGUAGGGAAACUUACGCUAAUACCUCAUACGACCUACCGGUGAAAGCAAGGGAUCUUCGGACCUUUCGCGAAUGAAUGAACCGAGGUCGGAUUAGCUAGUUGGCGGGGUAAAGGCCGACCAAGGCGACGGUCCGUAGCUGGUCUGAGAGGAUGAUCAGCCAAACUGGAACUGAGAACCGGCCAAGACUCCUAGGGGAGGCAGCAGAGGGGAAUAUUGGAAAAGGGGCGAAAGCCUGAUCCAGCCAGACCGGGUGGGGAAAGAAGGCCUUCGGGUUGUAAAGUCCGUUUGUUGGGAAAGAAAAGCAGCAGGUUAAUACCCCGAUGUUCUGACGGUACCCAAAGAAUAAGCACCGGCUAACUUCGUG
rnacentral:rRNA from 1 species